AACCAGACAGCUAGCUUAAUUUUACUUCCUAAAAUAAAACCCUUAAACUUAAAACAUUUUGCAAAAUUACAGUUAUAAGGCGAUAAGAAAAAUUAAUUAAUUAGCAAUAAAAAUAAAAUGUACCGUAAGGGAAAGCUGAAAAAGAAAUUAAAAAAACCAUUAAAAGUUAUAAAAAAGCCAGGGUAAACCCCUGUACCUUUUGCAUCAUGAUCUAGCAAGUCCACCGAGGCAAAAAGACUUUUAGUCUCUCUUCCCGAAACUAGGUGAGCUAUUUAAGAGCAGCUAUAUGAGCAAACCCGUCUAUGUAGCAAAAUAGUGGGAUGACUUUUAAAUAGAGGUGACAAGCCUAACGAACCUAGUGAUAGCUGGUUACUCAAUAAAAAAGUUUAAGCUUAACCUUAAAUCUUAUUAAUAAAUACUAAAUUAUAAAAAUAAAAAUUCAAGAGUUAUUCACAAGGGGUACAGCCCUUAUGAAAAAGGAUACAACCUACAAAUAUGGGUAAUGAUUAUACUUAACCAAGCCAUACGCAGAGUAGACUUAAAAGCAGCCACCUAUAAAGAAAGCGUCACAGCUCAAACAAAACUAAAACUUAAAAUUCAAAUAUACAACUCAAAACCCACAACACGCAACUGAGUUAAACCAUACAAUUAUGGUUGAACCAAUGCUAGAAUUAGUAAUAAGAAAACACGAUUUUCUCUAUGCGAGUCUAUAAAUCAAACCGAACUAGUCACUGAUAAUUACCGACCCUCCGUUAAUGGAAAUAAACAUCUAACAUAAACAAGAAAAACAUUAAAUACAAAUCCGUUAACCCUACACAGGUUCGCAAAUAGAAAGAUAAAAAGAUAAAGAAGGAACUCAGCAAACACUUAAGCCUCGCCUGUUUACCAAAAACAUCGCCUCUAGCCCAAACUAAUAUUAGAGGUACUGCCUGCCCAGUGAUACAAUUCAACGGCCGCGGUAUUCUGACCGUGCAAAGGUAGCAUAAUCACUUGUUUUCUAAAUAAAGACUAGUAUGAACGGCAAAACGAAGGCUAAACUGUCUCCUCUACCUAAUCAAUGAAAUUGAUCUCCCAGUACAAAAGCUGGAAUAAAAAAAUAAGACGAGAAGACCCUAUGGAGCUUUAAACAUAUAGAAAGUAUCAAUAACGUUUAACUAACAUCACACUAUUUCUAAACUGUUUUUGGUUGGGGCGACCACGGAGAAAACAAAUCCUCCGAGAUGAAUACCAAGGAAAACUAUCCAAAGUGUCAGAACCAACUGCCAUAAUUGAUCCAAUUAAUUUUGAUCAACGAACCAAGUUACCCUAGGGAUAACAGCGCAAUCCUCUUUAAGAGUCCAUAUCAACAAGAGGGUUUACGACCUCGAUGUUGGAUCAGGAUAACCUGACAGUGCAAUCGUCGUCAAAGGUUUGUUUGUUCAACAAUUAAAAUCCUACGUGAUCUGAGUUCAGACCGGAGUAAUCCAGGUCGGUUUCUAUCUAUUACGUAAUUUUUUCCAGUACGAAAGGACCGAAAAAAUAGGGCCAAUAUAAAAUGCAUGCCCUCACUAAACUAAUGAAAACAACUAAAACUAAACACAACACCUUCCUCAAAAUAAGAGGCUU
rnacentral:rRNA from 1 species